UGCGUCGGAACGUACCGAGUAAUGGGGGAUAACGCGGCGAAAGUCGCGCUAAUACCGCAUACGCCCUGAGGGGGAAAGCGGGGGAUCGCAAGACCUCGCGUUAUUCGAGCGGCCGACGUCUGAUUAGCUAGUUGGUGGGGUAAAGGCUCACCAAGGCGACGAUCAGUAGCGGGUCUGAGAGGAUGAUCCGCCACACUGGGGCUGAGACACGGCCCAGACUCCUACGGGAGGCAGCAGUGGGGAAUUUUGGACAAUGGGGGCAACCCUGAUCCAGCCAUUCCGCGUGAGUGAAGAAGGCCUUCGGGUUGUAAAGCUCUUUCAGCUGGAGCGAAACGGUACGCUCUAACAUAGCGUGCUAAUGACGGUACCAGCAGAAGAAGCACCGGCUAACUACGUG
rnacentral:rRNA from 1 species